rfam:Methanobrevibacter ruminantium M1, complete genome.
GUCGGGAUGGCCCAGCCUGGUACGGCGUCGGACUGCUAAUCCGAUGAUCAAUAGAUCGCCGGGGUUCAAAUCCCCGUCCCGGCG